GAAGCUGGCAGUGAAGGUCACAGAUGGGGACCCUUUGCCUGCAAAAUGCUGUAACAUCGUAAUUGCUAGCCUGUCGCUGACUGCCCAGAUCACAAUUAUAUGAUCAUAGUAAGUUAGAACAGUUGCUGAACAAGCAUGGACAUGUCCAGCGCAUGAUGCAUCCAGCCUGGUGGGCCAGGAGUUUAAUAGCCCUGUUGUAAGGAAACUGGCUGACAACAGGUGAUGUACAGGCUGUGAAGUAUAGGCCUCUACUCCCACUUUAGCAGAUGACCAAGGAAAAAGACUGGAACUUCACAACAACAACAAAAAAAUACUGAGUCUGGCUUUGAUUUGCACACCGAGGCUGUUCAAAAAGCUAUAGAGGGAACCAAGCUGCACGAAAGUUGUGUUUGAAUCAUAAAGAACUGGUGACAAAAAGGUUGGGGAGCCAUAGAAGACGAGAAGAGGAAGGAAAGGGCAACUGAAGAAGAGAAUCCAGAGGAACUUAGUUUAAGCAGGAGGUUGGGCUCCAAAGUCCCUUCCAACUCUGUUAUUCAGUUAGCUACAGCAAACACAGUCAAAGUUUGCAAAAGGAAAAGACAACAGCUGCGGUCAAGUUAAAGAUUCCUGUGAAUCAUUAAUGCUACGUCUGUUCAUGGAAAAGCUAUAUUGAGGAAUCUGAUACUAUUGCUAUAGAGCUGUGAUCUUUUCUACAAAAGUCCAUUUCAGGCUGACCAUUAUCUGGGUAAUAAUUCUGUAGCCUAUACCAAUGAAAUUUAUGUUUUAGAAGCUGCUCUGACUAUCUCUACAGAUUCCAAAGCAGCUGUAAAAGCCUGGGAAAAGAUGCAGCAGCUUUAACUGUCUAAAAACAUGUGUUUUCUAUGCCCUCUUGCAUGAUCUGAAGCUCCUCUUUGAGAAACUUUCUCUUCCUAGAGAAAGAGAUAAAAAGCAUUCUACCCAGGAAUUUGAA